rnacentral:lncRNA from 1 species
AUUGAUUGUCAUAAUUCCUUGUAAUAUACCUGUAUUUCUUCAAUUAUGAAGGGUUUAAGCCUUGAAUUAAAGGCUUUUUUUUUUUUUCUCCAGUUCUACCAGUUUACUGCUACCAACCCAUCUCCUUCCACCCUCAUGCACGCGUGCUCAGUCAUGUAACCCUGUGGACUGUAGCCCACCAGGCUCCUCUGUCUGUGGACUUUUCCAGGAGACCAGCCAAGCUCAUACUUUCCCUUUUCCUGGCAGGAAUUCACCAUUAGCCACAUUAUGAGGAUGUUCUGCCAGGAUGUGAAGCCAGAAGCUCAGAGAAAACCAAGACCCUCUGCCACAAAUCCUAAAACACCACCUGGAUUAUGUUAUUCCCUCUUGCGGCACCUUCAGUGGCUUCCUCUUGCCUUCAAGGGGAGGUGGGGGCUUGUUUCACACAGUGGUUAGGAUGCCUCUCCACUAGAGUAAACCUUCUUGAAUGGGAAGGUUGAGAAUCCUCAUUCCUUACAGAUUCUGUUAGGGAAGAGGAAUGGGAAUGAGAAUAGAAGUACUGGGAAAAAAUCCCUACUGGAUGGAAGAAAGUGCGAGCUUGUUGCUGGGCAGAGACUUGAGUCGGCUGGGUGACAGUGAAAGGAAGUGGUGAGAGCUGACACCUCUGCUGGCAGCAAGCUUCCUCUUUCCUAUUUCCUCCUCUUCCUGCUCAGCCUCUCUGUCUGGAUUCCUUAUAUUGCUGUCUAACUCAUUAUGAGUUUUAAUAGUUAAAAAUCCUUAGAGCUGAGGCUGACUCGGCGUUAACCCUGAAUAAAUAUUUGUUACUCUCGAGCUUAUUCUAUUCUAUUUUUUCCGUUUCUCACUGCUCAUGAUUUUGCUACUUUUAAAAAAGGCUUGAAUCAAUGUGGUGCACGUCAAGGUGAAUGUGGGGUGAAAGUGGUAUGCAGGAGGUUUGGUGAGGAGAUCAAUCCAAGUAUGAGUGGGUAGGUAGGUUGGCAGAGAGUGGCUGGUAGGAAGGUCCAAUGUGAGACUCAAAUGCAAAUGGCAUGCCUCUGCCGCGGGGCUUGGGUCAGAAGGCGCCGGGUGGUUGCCUCUUACAUUUUCACUGAACAGGC